AUGAUAGAGGUGCGGAAUUCAUCAGUAGUCCGGAAUAAGAAGGCAUGACAGCCAUCCGGAUGAAAGGGGAAACCGCCGAAGAAAUCCGGCCGGUCGGGAGGAGGAUUUCUGGGACGUCGCAGAACAUGCGCCGUACUGUCACCUGGGUGGAGCGCUAUCG
rnacentral:ncRNA from 1 species